AGCUUUGCACAGUGGCAGUAUCGUAGCCAAUGAGGUUUAUCCAAGGCACGAUUGUUGCUAAUUGAAACCUUUCCCAAUACCCUACCAUGAUGACUUGCAAUAUAAUUGGCAUUGGCAAUUUUUGGCGGUUCCUACGGGGA